UGGGGAAUCUUGCACAAUGGGCGCAAGCCUGAUGCAGCGACGCCGCGUGGGGGAUGAAGGCCCUCGGGUUGUAAACCCCUUUCGGCAGGGAAGAAGCCGCAAGGUGACGGUACCUGCAAAAGAAGCCCCGGCUAACUACGUGCCAGCAGCCGCGGUAAGACGUAGGGGGCGAGCGUUGUCCGGAUUUAUUGGGCGUAAAGCGCGCGUAGGCGGUUCGUUAAGUCGGUUGUGAAAACCCGGGGCUCAACCCCGGGCCUGCGUCCGAUACUGGCGGACUUGAGGCAGACAGGGGAGAGUGGAAUUCCCGGUGUAGCGGUGAAAUGCGCAGAUAUCGGGAGGAACACCGGUGGCGAAGGCGGCUCUCUGGGUCUGUCCUGACGCUCAGGCGCGAAAGCUAGGGGAGCAAACAG
rnacentral:rRNA from 1 species